rnacentral:rRNA from 1 species
UGGGGAAUUUUGGACAAUGGGCGCAAGCCUGAUCCAGCCAUUCCGCGUGCAGGACGAAGGCCUUCGGGUUAUAAACUGCUUUUGUACGGAACGAAAAGCCCUUCUCUAAUACAGAGGGGUCAUGACGGUACCGUAAGAAUAAGCACCGGCUAACUACGUGCCAGCAGCCGCGGUAAUACGUAGGGUGCAAGCGUUAAUCGGAAUUACUGGGCGUAAAGCGUGCGCAGGCGGUUUUGUAAGACAGAGGCGAAAUCCCCGGGCUCAACCUGGGAACUGCCUUUGUGACUGCAAGGCUGGAGUGCGGCAGAGGGGGAUGGAAUUCCGCGUGUAGCAGUGAAAUGCGUAGAUAUGCGGAGGAACACCGAUGGCGAAGGCAAUCCCCUGGGCCUGCACUGACGCUCAUGCACGAAAGCGUGGGGAGCAAACA